GGCGGGUCGACGCUGAGAAUCUAAGCGCCGGUAAACGGCGGUGGUAACUAUAACCAUCCUAAGGUAGCGAAAUUCCUUGUCGGGUAAGUUCCGACCUGCACGAAUGGCGUAACGACUUCCCCGCUGUCUCAACCACAGGCCCGGCGAAAUUGCAGUACGAGUAAAGAUGCUCGUUUCGCGCAGCAGGACGGAAAGACCCCGGGACCUUCACUACAGCUUGGCAUUGGCGCUUGGAGCGUCUUGUGUAGGAUAGGUGGGAGACUGUGAAGCCGGCACGCCAGUGUCGGUGGAGUCGUUGGUGAAAUACCACUCUGGUCGUUUUGAGCGUCUAACCCGCACCCGUGUAUCCGGGUGGGGGACAGUGCCUGGUGGGUAGUUUAACUGGGGCGGUUGCCUCCUAAAGUGUAACGGAGGCGCCCAAAGGUUCCCUCAGCCUGGUUGGCAAUCAGGUGGCGAGUGCAAGGGCACAAGGGAGCUUGACUGUGAGACGGACGUGUCGAGCAGGUGCGAAAGCAGGGCCUAGUGAUCCGGCACCUACGUGUGGAAGUGGUGUCGCUCAACGGCUAAAAGGUACCCCGGGGAUAACAGGCUGAUCUUCCCCAAGAGUCCAUAUCGACGGGAUGGUUUGGCACCUCGAUGUCGGCUCGUCGCAUCCUGGGGCUGGAGUAGGUCCCAAGGGUUGGGCUGUUCGCCCAUUAAAGCGGCACGCGAGCUGGGUUUAGAACGUCGCGAGACAGUUCGGUCCCUAUCCGCUGCGCGCGUAGGAGAAUUGAGAGGGUCUGUCCCUAGUACGAGAGGACCGGGACGGACGGACCUCUGGUGUGCCAGUUGUCCCGCCAGGGGCACGGCUGGUUGGCUACGUUCGGUCGGGAUAACCGCUGAAAGCAUCUAAGCGGGAAGCCUUCCUCGAGAUGAGUUCUCCCACCCCUUUGUGGGUGUAAGGCCCCCGGUAGACGACCGGGUUGAUAGGCCGGAGAUGGAAGCGCGGUAACGUGUGGAGUCGACCGGUACUAAUAGGCCGAGUGGCUUGAACAC
rnacentral:rRNA from 1 species